CUUGGUCAUUUAGAGGAAGUAAAAGUCGUAACAAGGUAUUCGUAGGUGAACCUGCGUAUGGAUCAUUACCGUUCUUGAUUUUCAUAAUCAUUAACUACUUUAACUUCGCACAAUUUCUCAUCUCAUAUGAAAGAUUGUGUCGCACCAUUAUGUUAAAAGACAAGUCUUCACCGACGACUUGUCUAUAAACCUUUCCAUUCAACAAAUCAUUGUUGUUUGUCAUUGAAUAUGAAUCGAAACAUCUUCUAGAAAUACAGAAAUAAAUAUAAUUCUGUACGGUGGAUCACUCGGCUCGUUAUUCGAUGAAGAGCGCAGCAAAGUGCGAGAAAGCAAUGCGAAUUGCAGGACACAUUGAGCAUGAAUAACUCGAACGCAUCUAGCAGCCAAGACGUAAGUCAAGGCUAAAUUUGCUUCAGUCUUGUUUAUAUAACAUCAAAUUCAUUUAUUCAACAAUAAAUGAAUUGCUGGCAAGUUCGAUGAUAAAUAAUCUAGCUUGCAAUACAUAUAUAAAAUACUUCAUUAUAUCUCUCUUUGAGAUAUAUAAUGUUUUAUACGUUUACAACGAAGUUAUACACAUACACAAGAAAGAUUUUAUUGUGUAAAUUGUCAUAACAUGAGAAAUCUUUAUCAUAUCCAUGUUAUUGAUACAAAAGACAAUAGAAUUCAUUCGAAAUGUGUAUAUAUAUCCAACUAAACAUUUCAAGCUGAAGUCAAAUUAGAAUACUUGCUGAACUUAAGCAUAUCAAUAAGCGGAG
rnacentral:rRNA from 1 species